CUUGGGUACCACUGACCAACAGGCACGUAGUCUAUGUGGAAUGAAAAAGGCAAAGAAGUAAAAGAAAAAGAAAUGGCUCCAUUUGCAGAGUGGGGGCUCCUUCCUCACCGUUACCUUUGGAUGUUGGUCUCCAGUUUCUUCAUCCUGCUAAUGUCUUCCAGCAUGGACUGGCACUGCUGACUCCAGAGUGAGCUUUCAGGCUUUCAAUUUUCUACUGCCACCGUGUCUUCCAGCCCUCCAACACACAAAAGGGCUGUUUCAGGAACCCGGGAAAAAUGGAGCCUUUGGAGGAUGAGAAGAUGUGAAAAGACAUCUUGCUCAGAGCCUUUGUUGUUACCUUGGGUACUCAGACACACACGGGAUUCACCUUCUCCACCCACAGAAGACAUCUUUUCCUCUUCUGCACGGUACAUAGAACAACAGGAAUGGAUGCCACGAAGCCAAUGCCCAAUGAUUCUCCUCAGGAAAUGAGUGUGAGAAGGUGUAAAUAUGAAAAGAGGGAAAAAACAAACAGAUACACCUGUGGAAGACCGGUCCAAAUAACCUGAACUGCUGAAACAUUGAGGAUCCAGUAUCACAUGAGCCACAUAACAAAGGCUAAGGGUGACUGGCCCAGAAGGAGAAGGAGGAGAGUAUUGUGAGCAGAAUAAUAUUGCCAGCCACACUUCUGUCCUGCUGCCUCGUGUUGACCAGUCAUUUCCAAUGGAAAAAUCUCAUAAGUCUGUAAAGAUGUGUGGCCAUAUCUUCACUGGGUGUGUGCUCGUCGUUCAGUCUGUUUUUGUAUCUUAUUUUUUAUUAGCUUUUCGUCAUGAAAAGCAUGAGAUUUUGAAAGCAUGAAGUUACUAAAAUCAAAGGAAAAUGUGCAAAUUUCUUUGAGUAGCAAUAUUUGGGGCUACGAUGUGAAUCAUACCUGCCCUUCAUAAUAAAUAUUCCAUAUCUGUCAGAGACUCUGUACUCCUUGGAUUUACA